GCUGGGCAUGAUGGCACUUGCCUGUAAUCCCAGUGGUUCCGGAGGCUGAGGCAGGAGGAUUGCGAGUUCAAAGCCAGCCUCAGCAAAAGUGAGGAGCUAAGCAACUCAGUGAGACCCUGUCUCUA
rnacentral:sRNA from 1 species